GAACAACUGUAAUAAUCAUCAUGGCUUUGGUGUGGCUGCAAGCAGCAGUUGUUGACGGGUGCGGUUCGCAAAGUGGUGAUUGUAGUGUAAUAAAAGCAUGUUGCGAAGGUUUGACAUGCGUGAAACUGCCUAGGGACGAAUCUAAAGGUAAAUGCGCGGACAACGAUUGCCUCCGCAAGUAUUGGCCUGCAGGUGUCAAGGAAUGCUUGUAACGUGAAAGGAGAUUACCAAUCAGGGGCUCGAAUUGAUGAGGACUUCAGAGUGUUUCAGGGAUACAAGCUGUAAGGACAACGGUUAAAUGCCGAGUGGAUUGUCCUACAAAAUUCUCAACCUAUAAUUAUUGUUCCACUGAAGAUUGAUCAGUAAAGUGAAAGUUAAUCUUUCUAUCUGUGCUUUGUUUAUUGUCUCAACCAAUGUCCAUAGCAAGUAAAAUAAGUGUGAGUCAUAUGUGUGGGUGUUUUGAGAGCGGAGAACAGACUGAUUAACCCUAUGAUUUAUGUGUAUAUGUAAUAUUUAUAGACUACUGUAGGAAUAAAUGAAUGUAGAUGUACGUAAUGUAAAAAUGUUUGUCGGUGUUUCACAAUCACGUGGUGCGCUCAACAUUCACGAAAUGUUCCCGAUAUCAGCGCGGUUUUUAUUUUAUUUGUUUUUAGAAACAGCUAAAAGUGCAUCUUGCUCAAAGUACAAAAGAAAUGCUGCCUUAUCUCCAUAUCACCCUGUUGUGGCAAGAGGUUAAAAUUAGGAGUCAAUCUCCAAAAGAACACAUUAUCUGUUGUGAAGGCAAUGAAACGAAGAACAUCUAUAAUCAUCAUGGCUUUGGUGUGGCUGCAAGCAGCAGUUGUUGACGGGUGCAAUCCGGCAGGUGGCCAUUGUUCUUUGAUAAAACCAUGUUGCGAAGGUUUGUCAUGCUUUGAAAUUCCUGGGGACCAAUUUAGUUCUAGAUGUGCGGACAACAGUUGCAUCCACAAGAAAGGUUCUCGACGUCGCAAGGAAUGCAUAAUGCGUUCAUGACGUAACGUAAAAGAAGAUUAUCAAUCAUGGGCUAGACUUGAUGAGGACUUCAGAGUGUUUCCGGGAUACAAGCUGUAAGGACAACAGUUAAAUGCCGAGUGGAUUGUCCUAAAAAAUUCUCAAUCUAUAAUUAUUGUUGUACUGACAAUUGAUCAGUAAAGUGAAAGUUAAUC